rnacentral:rRNA from 1 species
AGUCGAGCGAGGUAGCAAUACCUAGCGGCAGACGGGUGCGUAACAUGUGGGAAUCUGCCUUUUGGUUCGGAACAACACGGGGAAACCUGUGCUAAUACCGGAUAAGUCCUUACGGGGAAAGUUUUAAUGCCAUAAGAUGAGCCCGCAUUUGAUUAGUUAGUUGGUGAGGUAAUGGCUCACCAAGACAAUGAUCAAUAGCUGUUCUUAGAGGAAGACCAGCCACAUUGGGACUGAGACACGGCCCAAACUCC